UUGAACGCUGGCGGCAGGCCUAACACAUGCAAGUCGAGCGGUUGAGAGUAGCUUGCUACUUGAUGCAGCGGCGGACGGGUGAGUAACGCGUGGGAAUCUGCCCAGUAGUGGGGGACAACAGCCGGAAACGGCUGCUAAUACCGCAUACGCCCUACGGGGGAAAGGGGGGGAUCUUCGGACCUCUCGCUAUUGGAUGAGCCCGCGUCGGAUUAGCUAGUUGGUAGGGUAAAGGCCUACCAAGGCUACGAUCCGUAACUGGUCUGAGAGGAUGAUCAGUCACACUGGAACUGAGACACGGUCCAGACUCCUACGGGAGGCAGCAGUGGGGAAUUUUGGACAAUGGGGGAAACCCUGAUCCAGCCAUGCCGCGUGUGUGAGGAAGGCCUUAGGGUUGUAAAGCACUUUCAGUGGGGAGAAAGGUUUGUCACCUAAUACGUGAUGAAAUUGAUGUUACCCACAGAAGAAGCACCGGCUAACUCCGUGCCAGCCGCCGCCGUAA
rnacentral:rRNA from 1 species